rnacentral:tRNA from 1 species
AGCCGGGGUAGUCUAGAGGCGAGGCGGUGGAUUGCAGAUCCACUUUACAUGAGUUCGAAUCUCAUCCCCGGCUU